rnacentral:rRNA from 1 species
UACAGAGGGUGCAAGCGUUAAUCGGAAUUACUGGGCGUAAAGCGUGCGUAGGUGGAUACCUAAGUCGAAUGUGAAAUCCCCGGGCUUAACCUGGGAACUGCAUCCGAUACUGGGUAUCUAGAGUAUAGUAGAGGAAAGUGGAAUUCCCGGUGUAGCGGUGAAAUGCGUAGAUAUCGGGAGGAACAUCAGUGGCGAAGGCGGCUUUCUGGACUAAUACUGACACUGAGGCACGAAAGCGUGGGGAGCAAACAGG